rnacentral:rRNA from 1 species
GUCUACGGCCAUACCACCCUGAACGCGCCCGAUCUCGUCUGAUCUUGGAAGCUAAGCAGGGUCGGGCCUGGUUAGUACUUGGAUGGGAGAAAUACAGUCAAUAACAUUAUACU